UACGUAGGGGGCAAGCGUUGUUCGGAAUUAUUGGGCGUAAAGCGUGUGCAGGUGGUUCUACAAGUUGGAUGUGAAAGGCAAGGGCUCAACCCUUGGAUUGCAUUCAAAACUGUAGUUCUGGAGUAUGGUAGGGAAUAGCGGAAUUCCUGGUGUAGCAGUGAAAUGCGUAGAUAUCAGGAGGAACACCGGAGGCGAAGGCGGCUAUUUGGGCCAAUACUGACACUGAGACACGAAAGCAUGGGGAGCAAAC
rnacentral:rRNA from 1 species